rnacentral:rRNA from 1 species
GGGUCAGUAGGUUGGUCGUGCCACCGGUACGUACUGGUCUCACUGAUUCCUCCUUCCUGAAGAACCGUAAUGCCAUUAAUUUGGUGUUGCGGGGAAACAGGACUGUUACUUUGAAAAAAUUAGAGUGUUUAAAGCAAGCUAACGCUUGAAUACAUUAGCAUGGAAUAAUGAAAUAGGACGAUCGAUCCUAUUUUGUUGGCUCCUAGGAUUGACGUA